GAUGAACGCUAGCUACAGGCUUAACACAUGCAAGUCGAGGGGUAACGAGAGGAAAGCUUGCUUUCCUUGUCGACGACCGGCGCACGGGUGAGUAACGCGUAUCCAACCUGCCCCCAACUAGGGAAUAACCUUGCGAAAGUAAGACUAAUACCCUAUAAUUUCCUCAGAUGACAUCUGACGAGGAAUAAAGAUUUAUCGGUUGUGGAUGGGGAUGCGUCUGAUUAGCUUGUUGGCGGGGUAACGGCCACCAAGGCAACGAUCAGUAGGGGUUCUGCGAGGAAGGUCCCCCAAAUUGGAACUGAGACCCGGUCCAAACUCAUACGGGAGGCAGCCGUGAGGAAUAUUGGUCAAUGGGCGGAAGCCUGAACCAGCCAAGUAGCGUGCAGGAUGACGGCCCUAUGGGUUGUUAACUGCUUUUAUACAGGAAUAAAGUUAGCCACGUGUGGUUAUUUGUAGGUACUGUAUGAAUAAGGACCGGCUAAUUCCGUGCCAGCCGCCGCUGUAA
rnacentral:rRNA from 1 species